AAACAAUAGAAAAAAUUAAAUAAAUCAUGAAAUACUCAGAUUUUCUUAUCAUGCUUCACAAAGUCAUUAUAACUUCCAUCUCUGGAGGUAGAUACAGAAUUUCAACUAUCCAUGUGGAAUGACUACAUCAGAUACAGAUAACGGUAAUUUGUUCAAGCACAUUUCCGGCUUGCCAAAUCAUGGCAUGAUCUAUGACCACGGUCGUACCAACCAUAGUGGUCCUAUCAUAUAUUUUAUGGUCACGAGAGUACUUAACCAAAAGUGACCUUUAACAGAUAUUCGCAUCACCAUUCUAGUCAGAGGGUACGUCAUCAUCCACAGAGGGUCCUCUUACAUCUUUUCAGACCAAUGGGGGAGGGAAAAAACAAAUACCCCUCAGAGAUAAAAAGCCUAACGAGUCACUUGAUGCGUUAUGCAUGUCAAUACAAAUACAUACUUCGGACCCCAUGCUUCAUUCCACUUUUUUUUUUUGCUCUUUUAAUUUUCUAGAUAACCUUACCGACUUCAUAUUAUUUUAAUUACAUGCAAAUUAUUAAGUGUCUAUCACUCAUAUAGCAUGCUUGAAAUAAAGAAAAUUCAACUUAUUAAGUCUACAAACAUAAAACAUGCAAAACAGGAAAAAUUAUAGAAUUAUC
rnacentral:lncRNA from 1 species